GGGAGAGGUAUUAGCAGUAGAAAGAGAGAAGUGCUCAUGCCAUUGUACAGAACACUGGUGAGACCUCACUUGGAGUAUUGUACGCAGUACUGGAGACCGUAUCUUCAGAAGGAUAUUUAUACUUUAGAGAGAGUUCAGAGAAGGGCUACUAAACUGGUUCAUGGAUUGCAGGAUAAAACUUCCCAGGAAAGGUUAAAGGAUCUUAACAUGUAUAGUUGG